AUAAACCAUAAUCCACUUCACUCAGAGAUUAACAAAAUCCAAGGGAAACUCAACUAAACAUCAUCCACAACACAAAUCCAUUAUUCUUAUACAACUUAAACUUAUCAUUCCAUACACAUGAGCGGUCCUUUAAACUUUUACAACACAUAAGUAUCAAUAGAUCCUUAACAUUACAUCAGAAGUAAAGUAUACUAUACAACAAAAACCUAUCAUCCAACAAAGAUUAGCUCAAAA
rnacentral:lncRNA from 1 species